GAUGAACGCUGGCGGCGUGCCUAAUACAUGCAAGUCGAGCGAACAGACGAGGAUCUGGCUCCUCGGACGUUAGCGGCGGGAGUGUGAGGAACACGGGGAUAACCUACCUAGAAGACUUGGAUAACUGCGGGAAACCAGAGCUAAUACCUUCUAAUAUAUUGAACUGAGUGGAUCAUUAGGGAAAGACGGGGUUGCUGUGACUUAUAGAUUGAUCUGCGCCGAAUUAGCUAUUGGGUAAGGGAACGGUUUACCAAGGCAAAGAUGAGUAGCCGAUCUGAGAGCGUGAUCGGCCAGACUGGCACAGAGAAACGGUGGAGACUCCUACAGGAGGCAGCAGCAGGGACUCUUACGCGAUGGGGGAGAGGGUGACGGAGCAAAGCGGCGUGAGUGCUGAUGCUGUUACGACCGGAAAACUCUGUUAUAAUGGAAGAAGAAAUGCGUAAGUAACUAUGAACGUAUUGACGGUACCUAAACAGAAAGCCCCGGCUAACUACGUG
rnacentral:rRNA from 1 species